rnacentral:rRNA from 1 species
UACGGAGGAUGCAAGCGUUAUCCGGAAUGAUUGGGCGUAAAGCGUCCGCAGGUGGCUAUGUAAGUCUGCUGUUAAAGAGUGAGGCUCAACCUCAUAAAAGCAGUGGAAACUACAUGGCUAGAGUGCGUUCGGGGCAGAGGGAAUUCCUGGUGUAGCGGUGAAAUGCGCAGAUAUCAGGAAGAACACCCGUGGCGGAAGGCGGCUCUCUGGGACGUGACUGACGCUGAGACGCGAAAGCGUGGGGAGCGAACAGG